rnacentral:rRNA from 1 species
CUGAGCGGCGGACGGGUGAGUAACGCGUGGGUAACCUGCCUCAUACAGGGGGAUAACAGUUAGAAAUGACUGCUAAUACCGCAUAAGACCACGGUACCGCAUGGUACAGUGGUAAAAACUCCGGUGGUAUGUGAUGGACCCGCGUCUGAUUAGGUAGUUGGUGGGGUAACGGCCUACCAAGCCGACGAUCAGUAGCCGACCUGAGAGGGUGACCGGCCACAUUGGGACUGAGACACGGCCCAG